rnacentral:rRNA from 1 species
GACGAACGCUGGCGGCGUGCUUAACACAUGCAAGUCGAACGGAAAGGCCCUGCUUUUGUGGGGUGCUCGAGUGGCGAACGGGUGAGUAACACGUGAGUAACCUGCCCUUGACUUUGGGAUAACUUCAGGAAACUGGGGCUAAUACCGGAUAGGAGCUCCUGCUGCAUGGUGGGGGUUGGAAAGUUUCGGCGGUUGGGGAUGGACUCGCGGCUUAUCAGCUUGUUGGUGGGGUAGUGGCUUACCAAGGCUUUGACGGGUAGCCGGCCUGAGAGGGUGACCGGCCACAUUGGGACUGAGAUACGGCCCAGACCCCUACGGGAGGCAGCAGUGGGGAAUAUUGCACAAUGGGCGGAAGCCUGAUGCAGCAACGCCGCGUGCGGGAUGAUGGCCUUCGGGUUGUAAACCGCUUUCGCCUGUGACGAAGCGUGAGUGACGGUAAUGGGUAAAGAAGCACCGGCUAACUACGUG